GCUGGGCAUGGUGGCCUAUUCCCAUAGUCCCAGCUACUCUGGAGGCUGAGGCUGGAGGAUCGCUUGAGUCCAGAAGUUCUGGGCUGUAGUGCGCUAUGCCAAUCAGGUGUCUGCACUAAGUUCAGCAUCAGUAUGGUGACCUCCUGGGAGCGGGGAACCACCAGGUUGCCUAAGGAGAGUUGAACCCAGCCCAGGUCGGAAAUGGAACACUGCAAAACUCCCGUGCUGAUCAGUAAUGGGAUCACGCCUGUGAAUAGCACUGCACUCCAGCCUGGGCAAAUAGCGAGACCCCGUCUCUA
rnacentral:SRP_RNA from 1 species